rnacentral:ncRNA from 1 species
GUUGUGAUUAAACAACUCAUAAUUGUACCUACGCCUUAGGAAGAUGGUCUAACCAUCGGAUGAAAACUGAACUUCUAGGCUAAUUUUGCCAGCUUUCUUUUCGUUACGUUGAUCAGUUGAAUGUGAUGGCUAGUAAGCUUACCAUAAAGAAAUUAGAGUGCUCAGUUCUGGCUAACGCCUAAACAUUUAUGCAUGGACUUUGAGAUAGAAUACCAGUUCUGUUUUGGCGGUUCUCUCAUUUGAGAUAAUGGUUAAGAGAGACAAACGGUCAGUGUUAGAAAUAAUGGUUAAGUACGUGUCCUGCGUGAGAGGUGCAAUUCUUGAACCAUUGCGAGGGCAUAAAUACGAAAGCAUUUACGAAGAAUGUCUUCAUUAAUUAAGAGAAAAAGCCAGAAAUUCAAAGAUGAUCAGAUAUCUCAAGUUUCUAACUUCUGAAAACUUAUCUCACAUCA